rnacentral:ncRNA from 1 species
UAUAAGCGCCAGCACUGUGAACGGGUCAUGGUUCACAGAUGACGAGGAGGGAAACGAUCGAAAAUUCGGCGGAUGUUUCCCCGUCCGGUCCCGGAUGUAAGGAGCCAUACAAACCAGAGGAGUGAUCCACUGACAAAGAUGUC